UGACCGCCCCAGAGCUGGUGG
rnacentral:snRNA from 1 species